rnacentral:lncRNA from 1 species
UGGAGGGUUAUAUUCUCACCAUGCUCAAAAUUAGUGGGUCUUGUGCUAUUUUUGUGUUUGAAUCGAGAAAGAGUUGUACAGCUGUAAAUGUGCUGUGAGAUAAAGAUAUGGGUUGUUAAUGUAUUGUCCACAUUGAGGUUGCAAUUGGGUAAAUAGUUGUUUAUUUAGUUUAGGAGCUGAGAGCUAAAGGAAGAAUUUUUAUGCAUAUGUUGUGUUUGAUAAAUG